AAUUCCUAAACCUAAAGUCCAAAAUCCAGCUAUCUCCCUCGUCGGAUCGGUGACUCGCGGCCUCUCCCUGGAUCCCUUGUAUCACGGUCAGCGGUGGCGCAUCUCUUCAAGUGUGGUGACGCCGUCAAAGCCAUCAGUCCCUCACGGUUUCACGCGUUCAGUAGCUCAGUGCCUCGGUCCCUCACGCUCACCGUCAAAGGCUCAAAGCCCUCAGUCCCUUAGGCUCACGGUCUUCAAGCGUGGUGACGCCGUCAAAGCCCUCGGUCCCUCACGCUCACGCUCAUGGUUUCACGCCGCUCGUCUUCGGGCCUCAC
rnacentral:lncRNA from 1 species